rnacentral:rRNA from 1 species
UACGUAGGGGGCUAGCGUUAUCCGGAAUUACUGGGCGUAAAGGGUGCGUAGGUGGUUUCUUAAGUCAGAGGUGAAAGGCUACGGCUCAACCGUAGUAAGCCUUUGAAACUGGGGAACUUGAGUGCAGGAGAGGAGAGUGGAAUUCCUAGUGUAGCGGUGAAAUGCGUAGAUAUUAGGAGGAACACCAGUUGCGAAGGCGGCUCUCUGGACUGUAACUGACCCUGAGGCACGAAAGCGUGGGGAGCAAACAGG